rnacentral:rRNA from 1 species
GACGAACGCUGGCGGCGUGCUUAACACAUGCAAGUCGAACGGACAGGCCCUGCCUUUGUGGGGUGCUCGAGUGGCGAACGGGUGAGUAACACGUGAGUAACCUGCCUUUGACUUUGGGAUAACUUCAGGAAACUGGGGCUAAUACCGGAUAGGAGUUUCUGCCGCAUGGUGGGGGUUGGAAAGUUUCGGCGGUUGGGGAUGUACUCGCGGCCUAUCAGCUCGUUGGUGGGGUAGUGGCUUACCAAGGCUUCGACGGGUAGCCGGCCUGAGAGGGUGACCGGCCACAGUGGGACUGAGAUGCGACCCGUACUGCAUCUUGAGGCAGCGGUGAGAGAUAUUGCACGAAGGGCGGAGUCCGUAUGCAGCAACGCCGCGUGCUAGAUGACUGCCGUCAGGGAGGAAACCGCGUUCUCCUGUUACGGAGCGUGAGUGACGGUAAUGGGUAAAGAAGCACCGGCUAACUACGUG